rnacentral:rRNA from 1 species
UACAGAGGGCGCAAGCGUUGUUCGGAAUUAUUGGGCGUAAAGCGCUUGUAGGCGGUCUGUUAAGUCGCGUGUGAAAUCCCCAGGCUUAACCUGGGAAGUGCGCGCGAAACUGGCGGACUUGAGUGCCGGAGAGGGUCGCGGAAUUCCCGGUGUAGAGGUGAAAUUCGUAGAUAUCGGGAGGAACACCAGUGGCGAAGGCGGCGACCUGGACGGACACUGACGCUGAGACGCGAAAGCGUGGGGAGCAAACAGG